CUACGGGUCGCUCCAGUGGGGAAUAUUGCACAAUGGGCGCAAGCCUGAUGCAGCCAUGCCGCGUGUAUGAAGAAGGCCUUCGGGUUGUAAAGUACUUUCAGCGGGGAGGAAGGGAGUAAAGUUAAUACCUUUGCUCAUUGACGUUACCCGCAGAAGAAGCACCGGCUAACUCCGUGCCAGCAGCCGCGGUAAUACGGAGGGUGCAAGCGUUAAUCGGAAUUACUGGGCGUAAAGCGCACGCAGGCGGUUUGUUAAGUCAGAUGUGAAAUCCCCGGGCUCAACCUGGGAACUGCAUCUGAUACUGGCAAGCUUGAGUCUCGUAGAGGGGGGUAGAAUUCCAGGUGUAGCGGUGAUAUGCGUAGAGAUCUGGAGGAAUACCGGUGGCGAAGGCGGCCCCCUGGACGAAGACUGACGCUCAGGUGCGAAAGCGUGGGGAGCAAACAGGAUUAGAUACCCCCGGAGUC
rnacentral:rRNA from 1 species